rnacentral:lncRNA from 1 species
UAUGCCACAUUUGGGUGAAUUUCACUGGGACUGGAUGACUUCUGAACUUCAGGAAUCUUUUCAGAGCAGGAAACUAUUGUCCGUUGUGAUUAACCAAAUGAAGAGAAGGGAAUGACUGUCAUGUCAAUGAAGAAAAAGUAAGUAAAUAAAUAAAUUCAGCAUUAGGAGGUUGUACUAAUG